AAUAAGAAAAUUAAAGAAAAACUUUAUUGAAGCAAAAUAUAGCAGGAUUUUUCAUUAAAAAGAAGUAAAUGAAUGAAUUGCCUUUUAGAUAUUAAUGAAUUAUCCCCAACAAGAACUAAAAUCAAUUUUUUUAAUAUCUCAUCUAUAUGAAAAUGAAGAAGGGAAAUAAAAAGGGUUCCACCCUAACCAAAUAAGUUAAAAAAGGGGUAACAACCCUCCUAAACUUAAAAAAUAAAGGGUUUGAAUCUAAAAAGGUCCCAUCGGAUUGGAUGAUGCGGAGUGAUCGAAGCUGGAAGAUCCAUACUGGGUACGGAGAGGGGUCUCUCUGGUAGCAAAGGUUUCAGUGCUGUCUCCACAACCCUUAAGAGAAGCCAUUUACAUGACUCCACCCCUUCAUUUUAAAAAGCAUGCCCAGUAUACAUUUUCAAUCCACCCUUUGAUCCGUAGACUCCGAAUACAAAAUCUUUACGGAGCUUCCCUUUUAGUGUAAGUUGGGAUGUGAUGGAGUACACAUUCCAAGUUUUUUGCAUGGCUCCACCCCUUUAUUUUAAUCAAUUUUGUCCAUUUCAUUUCAAUUUGGAUUUUGUAAAGGGUGGAUGUUUUUGAUCGUAGAGUUAGAGUCAAAAAGAAUUGUGUGAUUUGGUGUAGAUUCUGUAUAGGUUCAUGUUCAAGUGUUUUAAAAUUGGAUAAUUCUUGUGGGAUAAUUUCUUUAUGGAAAAAAGAUCUGUCAGAAAAUACAUGAUGCAACAAAGAUACCAGAGGGACAUUCACUGGGCAUUCAAAUCCCAGUCAGGAGACUUUCGUUUUGCCUUGCCCUCAACUUCGGAUUCCCUAAGAUUACCCAGAAGAUUUCUACGCCAUAAAUAAAGCCUCUUCUGCAAAGUCUGUAGAACAUAGUCAUUUUUGACGCAAUUUAUGAAAGACUUCUUUGGACAAGUUGUGCCUUAGAUAGCAGAUCUCCAAUGGCAAUGAAAAAUAAAAGGAAAAGCCCAAAUUAACUAAACACACUUGGUUCUUAAUUCCGUUCCAUCUGAUCUUUCCUGAGAUUACA